rnacentral:misc_RNA from 1 species
GAAGUCGUUACUUUAACCCUUGUGGAGAAGGACGCCGAAGGUGGGGCUGAUGACUGGGGUGAAGUCGUAACAAGGUAGCCGUACCGGAAGGUGCGGCUGGAUCACCUCCUAACAGGGAGACAAUAAAUUGAUUGUGAUGUCUAAGUUUUUUAUUCUUAGGCCGCAAUCCUGUCACCUUAAGGUCGAUCGGUACCUCAGAUUUUUGAAUUAGUUUUAUAAUUGAUUCUCUUAUUUCAGUUCCUAAACUUGUCUAGGUCACACCCAACAAAGGUUUCUCCUGGGCCAUUAGCUCAUGUGGUUAGAGCGCACCCCUGAUAAGGGUGAGGUCCCUGGUUCAAGUCCAGGAUGGCCCAUAUCUCUAUGUUGGGGGUAUAGCUCAGUUGGUAGAGCGCCUGCUUUGCAAGCAGGAUGUCAGCGGUUCGAGUCCGCUUACCUCCACUGAAUACCACCUCUUACAUAUAUUUAAAGAGGGAAAUUGUUUUGAGUCGUGUCCUAAUUUGCUCUGAGCGAAUCUAGCUUCCUAUUUUAUUCUAUAAAUAAGAUGCUGGACUCAUUGAAUUUUUUUUCAUUGUUUUCAGAGAACCUUGACAACUGCAUAGAUUAUUUUUGAAGACAAUAGGCAUCUUUAAUGAUGCAGAUUUAUUAUUUGUGCGAAUGCAUUAGAUAACAAUUCUAUUAAGCUGAUGCUUCAAUUAUUGAAGUUAUUGGUCAAGCUACAAAAGGCUCACGGAGGAUACCUAGGCACACAGAGGCGAUGAA